CAGCAAUGCUCCAUUGGUUUAGCUUCUUGAAGAUUUCUGUCUUAGCUUUUUCCAUCAGCAUGGUACGAAGUUCAGAGAUUGAGACCGCUCCUUUGUGCUUGUGGAUUGGUCACUAGUAGAAAAUAACUCGUUCAACUUCCAAAUUUCCCUGUAGAUUUCCAAAUGAAAUUGUAUGGGCCACCCUGCUUCCUCCUGUCGUUUGGUUUAUUCUUCUGCACUGUUCACCUUCUGCCCAACUAUGCCCCCCUUUUUGAUUGGAUUCUCUGAAGUUGAGGGAGCUUCGGUUUUAUCUGUGGCUAUGCUAUUUCUUUGCAGAGCCUUCGUACACCCUGCCCCAGAUACUGUCUCGUUUCGCCCUUUCUUGAGACUCUCGCCAACUAUCUGGACACUGUGCAGUUUCAGUGGCUCUCUUAAAUGAAGUUGUUACACUUUUGGAACUUCCUGAUGCAGCAGAUGCACCUGGAUUCUGAUGGUGGAAAGACCAAGGAACAUGUGGACUGGGAAUGCUUCUAGAUGCAGGAGUAGACUUCUCUAUCACCAAAAAGGUCCUGAUAGUGGGGACACACAAGAGUUUCGUUGCUGUAAAUCUUGAGGAACUCAUAUAGUAUCCUGCACUUAUUGCAUGACAUUAAAGAAGUUUCAGGUCUUGAUGGAUGACAGGGGAUUGGUAUAGAAUCGCUGGCAGGAGUAUGGUGAUAUUGCUUGAUGGGUGUCUGGUUCCUUUGAAGUGGGGUGGGAAAGCACUGAAAAUUGUUGGCAAAUUUAGGAGGAUUUUGAUCAUUGCGGACAUAAACAUAAAUGAAAAUUGGCAAAGCUGCUUCUGGAGUCAUGUGCCGGGCAACACUGCUGUCAUUGGAUCCCUUGGUCCAGGGUGGAGGGGAGCAUACUUACUAGAAGGGGCUGUUUCUGGAGUCCUUUGAUGAGUGGGAAUGUGGUGGUCACCAUUGGCUGUUGACUGAUACCUUGGCCAGAGUGGACACAGAUUGUAAUAUAAGGAAACAGACUUGCAUGGCUUCAUUUCAUUUGGAAACAGUGUUGGGUGAUUAUCACUUCUUUUCAUUUUGACAUUAUUUUAACACUAUAUUAUGUGAUUAUUCAUCCAUCUUUUCUAUGUAUAAAUGUGUGUGCGAUCUGCGUG
rnacentral:lncRNA from 1 species